UACAGAGGUCUCGAGCGUUAGGCGGAAUCACUGGGCUUAAAGCGUGUGUAGGUGGAUCGUUAAGUACCUUGUGAAAUCCCACGGCUUAACCGUGGAACUGCUUGGUAUACUGGCGGUCUUGAGCCAGCUAGGGGCUACCGGAACAAAUGGUGGAGCGGUGAAAUGCGUAGAUAUCGCUUGGAACGCCGAAGGUGAAAACAGGCUGCUGGGGUUGCGCCGACGCUGAGACACGAAAGCCAGGGGAGCAAACGGG
rnacentral:rRNA from 1 species